rnacentral:lncRNA from 1 species
AUACAAGAGGGUUGAUUAUUGCUGAGCAAUUAAGACCUGGGAAUUUCCUCUUCAAAUUGCCUCCUUUGUGUGAAGAGGACUUUGGACCCAGGAACUACAUCAGGAAAAAAUGUUAGAAUGAUAUAUGAAUCAUGAGUACAGACACCAAGUAAGGACUGAAGGAACAUGUCUACCACUCUAUGAGCUGUCUUGUGUGGCUUUUGUAAUAUUAAUUUAAUCUGUUCAGAAUCUUAAUAGCUGAAGUACUAGUUUAUUAUUUCAGGCAGGUGAGCUACUGAUUUAUUGAGUUGUCUGUAAAAAGAGUAUCACUAUGGUGUAACUGACUCAAACUUCAUAGAAGGCAGGUAAUUUCCCUGGGGAGACCCAUGGGGAGUGAAACUGAUGUCUCCCACCAAAAGCCAGACUCAGCUUGCUUGCCCAGUGGGUGAGCCAGCUAGGAAGCGGGUCCUCUUUCCCUGGUCAGACCUUCAGAG